rnacentral:rRNA from 1 species
AGAGUUUGAUCCUGGCUCAGAUUGAACGCUGGCGGUAUGCUUAACACAUGCAAGUCGAACGGAAACAGGACGCUGUGAACUCCUCGGAGUGAACUUGUCGCUGUCGAGUGGCGGACGGGUGAGUAAUGCUUGGGAAUCUGCCUAGUAGUGGGGGACAACACGAGGAAACUCGUGCUAAUACCGCAUACGCCCUACGGGGGAAAGCGGAGGAUCUUCGGACCUCGCGCUAUUAGAUGAGCCCAAGUCGGAUUAGCUUGUUGGUGGGGUAACGGCCUACCAAGGCAUCGAUCCGUAGCUGGUCUGAGAGGACGAUCAGCCACACUGGGACUGAGACACGGCCCAGACUCCUACGGGAGGCAGCAGUGGGGAAUAUUGGACAAUGGGGGCAACCCUGAUCCAGCAAUACCGCGUGUGUGAAGAAGGCCUGCGGGUUGUAAAGCACUUUCAGUAGAGAAGAAAUAGCUCUUGGUUAAUAGCCUUGAGCCUUGACGUAACCUACAGAAGAAGCACCGGCUAACUCCGUGCCAGCAGCCGCGGUAAUACGGGGGGUGCAAGCGUUAAUCGGAAUUACUGGGCGUAAAGCGCGCGUAGGCGGUCUGGUCAGUCGGAUGUGAAAUCCCCGGGCUCAACCUGGGAAUUGCAUUCGAUACUGCCAAACUAGAAUGUUGGAGAGGGAAGUGGAAUUUCCGGUGUAGCGGU